rnacentral:lncRNA from 1 species
GCUUGGCAAUGGGAGAGAGGUUGAGGAGCAGACCUCGUUCCCCGACUAUGGGUGUGCUCUCCAGUCGAGGAAGGCCCCUCACGCUUGCCCUCGCGCCUCCUGGCUUAAUCUGCGGCACUGCUUUGGUUGAGGUAUAUGGCCUCUCCAUCUCACCUCCUUAAAGCAGCUCUCAACUGCAGCCGACACCAAAGACAUGCCAAAGGAGGGUUGUUCGGAGAGUAACUCUGGAAUGCGUGCCAAGUCUCUGAGGAUGGCAGCUAAUUUUCUCCUGUAACGUUGUUAUGAUCAGCAACCUGCGUGAAGAGGUACCGGUACUUCUCCUGCAACCGACCGGCACACAUUACCACCAUCAGCACCUUGCAUCCCAUCACCUGCGCCAUUCCACUUCGGCUUCUGUUGAUGAGUGAGGAGUUUAUCCUCUCAUGAGUGGCCGAUCUCUCAAAAAAUGUGUUAAGACUGUGUCAUCUGAUGAUUAACAUCAUGAAAAAUAUCUAAAACAAUGAUUAUCAUGAUUCAUUCUCACAAAAUAAGGUUACCAACGUUCUUCAGUUUCUGACUUAUGCAAAUAUCUAACACAUGUGCCAAAUUUGCAUAAACUAAAUGUAUCCCUCCUGACAAAGCAUUACAAAACUGUGACAUAAAUAAAGCUCUCAUGUCAA